AGCUGGCUAUGCGGCUAAGCUAAUGCUAACGGACGGUACCGUCCUAUCAAUACAAGGCCUUGUGGAGGACUCCAAGGCACAAGCUGUGAAACAGCAGGUGAAACAGCAGAAGCUCCAGUGGAAGUGGGGGCAGGGGCAGAAACAGAGGCAGAGUCAAUGAUGACAUGGGCAGAGACAACUGUGGUGGAUGAUUCGGAUCAGGUUUUAAUCGCUGAAGGGGCACCACCAGCAGGGACACUACCAGCAGCAACAGCAGCAGCAGCAGAGGCAGCUCAAUCAAGCACAGCGACAAGAACACAGCAGAACACGGAUUGCUGUAGGACGCAGAAGAUCCCUUGUUGAAGGGAGAAGAAAAAGAAGGAGGAGAACAGGACAACUCUUGGCCAGCCUUUGGAAGUGAGAAGUUACCUGGAUUCCUUGUGCGAUAUACUGUAGCUACAGCAAAAUAUUUCAUGCAAAAUAAAUAAAGAGUUGGA